rnacentral:rRNA from 1 species
GACGAACGCUGGCGGCGUGCCUAAUACAUGCAAGUUGAGCGCUGAAGGUUGGUACUUGUACCAACUGGAUGAGCAGCGAACGGGUGAGUAACGCGUGGGGAAUCUGCCUUUGAGCGGGGGACAACAUUUGGAAACGAAUGCUAAUACCGCAUAAAAACUUUAAACACAAGUUUUAAGUUUGAAAGACGCGAUUGCAUCACUCAAAGAUGAUCCCGCGUUGUAUUAGCUAGUUGGUGAGGUAAAGGCUCACCAAGGCGAUGAUACAUAGCCGACCUGAGAGGGUGAUCGGCCACAUUGGGACUGAGACACGGCCCAAACUCCUACGGGAGGCAGCAGUAGGGAAUCUUCGGCAAUGGACGAAAGUCUGACCGAGCAACGCCGCGUGAGUGAAGAAGGUUUUCGGAUCGUAAAACUCUGUUGGUAGAGAAGAACGUUGGUGAGAGUGGAAAGCUCAUCAAGUGACGGUAACUACCCAGAAAGGGACGGCUAACUACGUG